UUGUUCACUGUAUCGUUUAGGGUUCCGCUGUAGACAACAAACAAAGCUCGCUUGACCAUUUUUAAGCAAUUUUUUUUUCCUUUUUUCUGGCUCUGUUUGCUUUGGUUUACAGGAUCUCAGGUUUAGAAACCAGAGGUGUGGCUGGUCCACAGCCGGAAGAAACCCACCUGCUCAGCCCCAACGUGAUGCUACUGGAGUGAAGAGGUAUAAGGAAUUCUAAGAAGAACCACUACAAAAUCCAAGGACAGACUCUACGACCUCCACACGACUAACAGACAGACCCCCAGGUACACGCGUUCCUGCACAAAACACCGCGAAAACAGCAAAGGGAGGGCACAGAGCAAAAGACAGAAAAAGGAAGCUUAAGACCGCACGAUAGACGCCGUCACAUCAGGUAACACGGUUAGUGCCUCGGGCCGCUGGCCAGCCAGAGACCGACAAGGACUCCCUUGCUCUGUGUCCUCUCUCCUCUGUGAAAAUCGGUCUGUCUCUUGAGUCGAUCUGGGCGUUCUACAUUUUGCUAGAAGAUCACUUCUUUCCUCCAGGAACUGAAACGUGUUGCGUGAGGUUGCCUGUAGAAUUCCCCGAUGGUUCCACGGAUCGCCUUCCUGCCAGCCUCUCUCAAAUUAAUUGGUUUUGCGUGGCCUGGAGUUCACACCAUGGAACCGUCAAAGUUCCAUCCUGAAACCUCGCAUGCGCACUGACUGAUAUAGUAGCCAACUGCUACAUAAUAAAUGGUUCUCUCUACCCCA
rnacentral:lncRNA from 1 species